rnacentral:rRNA from 1 species
AGGAUCAUUAUUGAAUUUUGAAAAGAGGUUGUAGCUGAUCAUAAUAGAUAUGUGCACACCUCGUUCCAAAUAUUACACCAUGUGCAUUUUUUGUAGGCCAAGAAAUUGGUCUAUGUUUUUAAUACACUCCAAAAGUUUAGAAUGUUAUUAUCAAUAAGCUUUGCUUAUAAAAAAAUUAAUACAACUUUCAACAACGGAUCUCUUGGCUCUCGCAUCGAUGAAGAACGCAGCGAAAUGCGAUAAGUAAUGUGAAUUGCAGAAUUCAGUGAAUCAUCGAAUCUUUGAACGCACCUUGCGCUCCUUGGUAUUCCGAGGAGCAUGCCUGUUUGAGUGUCAUUAAAUCAUCAAUCCUUUAUAAGGCUUUGGACUUUGGAGUUGCUGGCUUUGAGUUGGCUUCUCUUAAAUGUAUUAGCUUGUAUCCUUUGCAGAUAAGCUUUAGUUUGAUAGAUAUCUACUAUAGCUGUGAAGCAAAUGUCAGCUUCCAAUUGUAUACUUUAAACUUUGACCUCAAAUCAGGUAGGAUUACCCGCUGAACUUAAGCAUAUCAAUAAGCGGAGGAAAAGAAACUAACCAGGAUUCCCCUAGUAACUGCGAGUGAAGCGGGAAAAGCUCAAAUUUAAAAUCUGGCAGUUUUGAAGCUGUCCGAGUUGUAAUCUAGAGAAGUGCUUUCCGCGUUGGACCGUGUACAAGUCUCUUGGAACAGAGCGUCAUAGAGGGUGAGAAUCCCGUCUUUGACACGGACUACCAAUGCUUUUGUGAUGCGCUCUCAAAGAGUCGAGUUGUUUGGGAAUGCAGCUCAAAAUGGGUGGUAAAUUCCAUCUAAAGCUAAAUAUUGGCGAGAGACCGAUAGCGAACAAGUACCGUGAGGGAAAGAUGAAAAGAACUUUGGAAAGAGAGUUAAACAGUACGUGAAAUUGUUGAAAGGGAAACGCUUGAAGUCAGUCACGUUAGCUAGGAAUCAACCUUUAAUAUGAAGGUGUACUUCCUGGUUGAUGGGUCAGCAUCAAUUUUGAUUGUUGGACAAAGAUCAAUAUUUAUGCAUCUUCGGAUGUAUAGCCUUUGGUUGCAUACAACAGUUGGGAUUGAGGAACUCAGCAUGCCGCAAGGCCGGGUCUCUAAGACC